AGUAGCCUAAGAUUUCAACCCAUCAGCCAGGUCGGGGGCUGCAUGUUGGCUGCCUUGCCUAAGGAAGUGCCUUGGCAGAAAAGAAAGAAGAAGGGCUCUGGAGGGAAUAGGGAAGGGAGUUGUUCUGAGAGUCCCUCCUGUCAACUUAGGCGAAACAACCAACUUUUUUUCAAGGACAGAACUGAGACAGUAGGAUGUUUGAGCUAUAGUCAUUGACUAAAUAAAUCUGGGCUCGGGGAAUGGCGUGAGAUGGAAUCUGAGGUAAAGUGGGCUGGUUUCUCAGUCUAACACAAUCUUUGUUUCCAGGGGGAUGGCAUCCACAUCUGCCAGGAGUGGGGAUAAAAAGGACAUCUGGCCAUCUCAAGCUGCUGCCUCCUUAGGUGGAGGGCAGAAAGCCUCAUUAUCCCGCUCUGAAGAAUUCCUCACCCGAAUCAGCACAGAACUCACAGACGAAGCACUGUUUAUUGCUCGCUCCCGUUUGAAUCUUAUGCCCAACAAGGAAAAGCAGACAAAAGACCAAGGGACUCAGAUAUCUAGAAAUGGUGAACUCUCUCCCUCUUCAUCUAGAGACCAGUCCCUGACUCUUCCAGCCAUAGCUGAUCUCCCCAGGAAUCUGCCCAUUUUUUUCUCCUCAUUUCCUGUCCUAGGCCCAGAGCCCUGUACCUUCUAACUCACUUAUUGUUGCCAGCCAGGAGCCCCUUGGUUCCCAUCUGCUCUAGCCACAACUCUUUCUAACCACGGGGAAAGUUGUUCCUUUAACUGGGGCCUCUAAUUCCAGUGUUCUUCACCAAGACCCGAGGCACUGACACCCGCUCGUGAUUCUCAGCCUGUUCUAUUGUCUUCUGCCAUCUCCAGCUCUGACAGAAAUCGAACCCGAACCAAGGCACACCUUUUGCCAUCUCCUCGUGAAAAGGGAGCACUCCCCAGCAGCCUGACAACUGGAGGAUGAGCUCAGUCCUCCCUGGUACUGCUCUCUCUCGGCCUCUUGCCCUCCCCCAACAAUGCCCCUCAGUGAAAACCUCAAAGCCCCUCUUUUGCAACUGGCUAAGCCUCUCAUCUUGGGAGGAACUCCUGGUCAUAAGCAACGCCACCUUUGAAACCAAGAAAAUCUGGGAUUGUUGCAGGGCCCUCCACCCUCCAUGGACAAACACUACUGAGAAGAAAAGGUUUUAAUAAAGAACCAGGGACCUCCUUUC